CCCGGCUCCGCCCGCCGCCGGCUGUCUCCCGUGACCGCACCGCACCGGCGGGCGCAGCAGCGGCCAGGGCAGCGCCCAUGGGCUGCGGCAACUCCACGGCCGGCGGCGCUGGCGGGCGAGGUGCUACAGGGACUACUAAAGAUGUAGCAGAAGAAUCCAUAUCAGAUGAUGACAAAAGGAGGAACUAUGGCGGGGUGUACGUGGGCCUGCCGUCAGAUGCAGCUGCCAUGGCUUCCAGUCAGACAAAAGGUGCACCCAAAGAAGGAUCCUAGAGCAGAUGCUGACAGUGCAGGUACAUGGUCUUCUGAACAUCUUCUCCACUUUCUGACUGCUCUGUGAACUGAAAGAAAACAAAACCCCGUUAGGACUAACAGGCUGUGAUAGAAGCACUUGAAGAGCCCCAGCGCUAUUUUUAGUUUUGAAGAUUAGAAGGAAAUAAAGACAUCAAGAUGCAAACAGCCCGAGUCUUUUAAGAACAGUUGCCGGUGCUUUGGAGAGAGCUGUCUUUGUGCUGAAGAUUUUGAUAUUUACACAGUCUUCCGGAGAGCAAGAGAGAUCAGAGCACCAAAAAAUCCAAACUGUUGCAAGUUCCAACUACGAGUAAAGCUUAGAGUACAGCGUUGAAUCCGUUUCCAAUGAUAGUUGCAUUAUGGAAACCUCCUGCUGUUUUCCAGUGAAAGAUGAAAUUAGUGAACUCAUGGUGGAUGUUUCUGCACAAGAGCUAACUUUGAUGAUCUGCAACUUAUUUCUCUGUGGCCAUAUUGCAGAUUCCAUCAGCUAUCAGCUACGCUUCAUAUAUUUCCUCAAACAAGUUUGAUAGAUUUUAUAUAGAAAACCAUCACUACUGUCCACUCAAUAGUUUCUGUGGUAGGUUCCUUAAAUUAAUUGUUAUUUUACUUCAGAUUAAUAUAUUUGACAAGUUUGCAUCUUUUUGAGAAUAUUGCAAAUUUUAAUAUUUUUUCUGUGAAAUAUUAAGAAUAGGAUGAAACAAGCUUAAGACCUUAAGGUUCUUCAUAAUUAUUACUGUCCCUUUUAUACCAUGAGACAAAUUCUUAGUGUUUAAUUUUCACCUUGUAAAAAGAUGUUGCUCAAGGAAAUUGAUUCAAAUAAGAACAAUAUACUUCAUUGUAUUAUUUACAUGUCUGUUUAUAUGCUAUAUCUCUUUUAUAAAGCAUUACAUGUAAAAAAAUACUAACAAAAUAAGCUAUUCUGUGUUCCAUUCCGUGUAAUAAUAAUAACAUGUCCUUGCAUAAGGAUGAUGAUAGUGGGACUGAACUCCAGUGCUGCAUUCUUCCUGACCUGUAGAGGACUUUUGAUCACUAUUACAGUUUUGUAUCCCCGUCUCAUUGGAAAGCAUCUCCAGUAUGGCAAAUUGAAACAGAAUGAGCAUUAUUACUACUUUAGCAAAUUGUUCAGGUUUUAAAAUUCUUUAAGUUAAUAGCAAUUGUAAGUUUCACAUAGAACAUAAAACAGAUUGUACAUUUACAGGUGGCUGAAUAAGUAUUUAAACUAUUAAAGCCUUUUGCAUUAUUCUUUAGUCAAACUCUUUUUAAUGGGACUUGAUACACCAUACACUUUAAAUAAUCAAACAAAAAAACCUCACCCAAUCUGCACCAUGUUAAUAUAUUACUGUACAUUCAUGGCCAUUUUUAAAAUUAAAAGAAAACAGCAAACCAUAAAAUUUGGACAUGAAGCUGCCGUGAACCAUGAAAUUAUUGCCCUUUUCACUGAUACCCAUUACUACCAAUGAACUACCAUUGACUAUGAUUUCCAAUAACUUGCAGCUUUCACUUUUAUUUAGUGGUAGUUUGAUGUGAGGCAUGCAAAAAGAGCUAUUUAAAAGUAUUCCUUGCUUGUCCUCUUUUAAUUAUUUGUGACAUUAUUUAUUGCUAUUCUCCAGAAAUCUGCUACUUGGGUUAUCAAUGAUUUCAGGCUUCCAGUUCCUGACGACAAGCAUGUAUCUCAUUCUUGACCAUCAACCUCAAACUGAGAUGAAAUAAACUUCAAGAUUAAGAUGUGGUGUUAAAAUAUCUCUCAGUAUGAAUGAUAGUCUAUAGAUUAUAUCUGCAGUGUCUUGUUCUUGCAAGCCAGACUGGUGAGGAUUCAAGCAGCCCUGGGUGAUAAACAUGCAGGCUUUUCUCCUACCUGCUUACCAUAGUAUGAGGGUAUAGUUUCCACUUCACAUGUUCCACAAAUGGCCAAAAUGGUUUGCAUAAGUUUAUUUAGUACAGAGCAAUGCCUGACCUGAUCACAAUUAUCUUUCCCAAAGCAGAAAAAGCACCUGUCAUCCUAGGAUACAUCAGUAUUCAGCUUGUGCCCAAAAAGCCAACAGCAGAUGCCAGUAAUCAACCCGGUUGUUUAUCCACUUCUAUCCUUCAGUUGUUGUGAAGGAUCAUCAAAAAGGUGGACAGGGCUAAACUCGAACAUCACUUGUUCUGCUACUGGCAUCUGAAGCCUCAUGUGUGGGCAGAGGGAGGAAAGAGGUGAUUGCUGAUGAACAGCUCCUCGCAGCUGGUGGUGGGAUAGUUGCAAGGGGUACUUUCCUUGGUUCACGUCAUUGCUUAUUUUUCAUGUGCAGAGCUACAGAGAAGCUUGGAGCACUUUGCGGAAUUGGUCUUUUAAUGUUUCAUCUUCUGAAUGUGUGUGAGGUACAGUGGUUUCUUAAUAUUUUUGUUCCUCUGCGUCAUUUAAUCUCAAAAGUUUACUGACCAACUGACAAAUGUCACAUCACAGACUGGAACCUCUAAAAUAGAUAUAGAUUAAAUUAUGCUAUGCAGGCCUGUGCCAUCAAACUAAAGAGCUAGGGCCAUGCCCUUGUCUUCAAUUUGCAGAUUCUUGUCUUUUGUUUUCCCAAAGAUCCAUGAAUCUAGAAACUGUGUUACGGGAUGCUGUAUUCUGUCCUGGUCAAAUUCCACUUAGGGAACUGAUUUUAUGCUCAUGAAAAGUCCUCUAGGGUGAGCAGCCUUUGUUAAUAAAAGCACAUGUCAUUUCAUGGAGAAA